AGCUCUGCGAACGUGCACUAAUAUUGUUGCGGUUAAAAAGCUCAUAGUUGGAAGUGGUCGACGCGGACACUGGGUGACUGGUGUUUGUGUUUCACUUGACGUGGUAUAUAACUUUAUUGAUAUAUAACUAUGUUGAGCGGCCACAAAAAAAUCCUUGCGACCUUCUGGUCACAAGGGUUUACACGAUACUUUGAACAAAUCAGAGUGCUCAAAGCAGACCUCGUGUCUGAAUGAUUAUGCAUGGAAUAUAUGAACAUGACCCUAUUCAAUACUAUUCCUGGUGUUGAAUUUUAUGGGUAAUGAUUAAUGAAGUCUGACGGUGGCGUGCGUACUGCAGCGCGAGAGGUGAAAUUCUUGGACCGUUGCAUGACGAACAACUGCGAAAGCACUCGCCAAGAAUGACUUUG
rnacentral:rRNA from 1 species